GCUCAUGCCUACGCGUUGAGGUUACCACACGAGCGAGCACACACUUGUGUAGCGUCGACGGUCCCCUAUUUCGGCUUUUUACCGAUUUAAUAUUGUGGUAGUAUGAUUACACACCUGGUUAUGAACCGCGUACUCAGCCCUCAAGCCCUCCAAAUCUGAGUUCAAUCAUAAAAAACGAUUAACUAUAUGUCUAACGAAUUUAAAACGACUCAACACAAAAUACUUAAUCACUUCACCGCAUUCACAUACCACGCUUGAACAACCGAGACCCG
rnacentral:lncRNA from 1 species